GACGAACGCUGGCGGCGUGCCUAAUACAUGCAAGUCGAGCGAAGUUUUUCUGGUGCUUGCACUAGAAAAACUUAGCGGCGAACGGGUGAGUAACACGUAAAGAACCUGCCUCAUAGACUGGGACAACUAUUGGAAACGAUAGCUAAUACCGGAUAACAGCAUUAACUGCAUGGUUGAUGUUUAAAAGUUGGUUUUGCUAACACUAUGAGAUGGCUUUGCGGUGCAUUAGCUAGUUGGUGGGGUAAAGGCCUACCAAGGCGACGAUGCAUAGCCGACCUGAGAGGGUGAUCGGCCACACUGGGACUGAGACACGGCCCAGACUCCUACGGGAGGCAGCAGUAGGGAAUCUUCCGCAAUGGGCGAAAGCCUGACGGAGCAACGCCGCGUGAGUGAAGAAGGAUUUCGGUUCGUAAAGCUCUGUUGUUAGGGAAGAAUGAUUGUGUAGUAACUAUACACAGUAGAAGACG
rnacentral:rRNA from 1 species